GACGAACGAGGGAGGAGGGAGGAACACAUGCAAGUCGAACGGAAAGGCCCUGCUUUUGUGGGGUGCUCGAGUGGCGAACGGGUGAGUAACACGUGAGUAACCUGCCCUUGACUUUGGGAUAACUUCAGGAAACUGGGGCUAAUACCGGAUAGGAGCGCCUGCUGCAUGGUGGGGGUUGGAAAGUUUCGGCGGUUGGGGAUGGACUCGCGGCUUAUCAGCUUGUUGGUGGGGUAGUGGCUUACCAAGGCUUUGACGGGUAGCCGGCCUGAGAGGGUGACCGGCCACAUUGGGACUGAGAUACGGCCCAGACUCCUACGGGAGGCAGCAGUGGGGAAUAUUGCACAAUGGGCGGAAGCCUGAUGCAGCAACGCCGCGUGCGGGAUGACGGCCUUCGGGUUGUAAACCGCUUUCGCCUGUGACGAAGCGUGAGUGACGGUAAUGGGUAAAGAAGCACCGGCUAACUACGUG
rnacentral:rRNA from 1 species